rnacentral:rRNA from 1 species
AUGAACGCUAGCUACAGGCUUAACACAUGCAAGUCGAGGGGCAGCAUGGUCUUAGCUUGCUAAGACUGAUGGCGACCGGCGCACGGGUGAGUAACGCGUAUCCAACCUGGCCCAUAGUAGGGAACAGCCCGGCGAAAGUCGGAUUAAUGCCCUAUGUUCUCCUUGAGGGCAUCUGAGAUGGAGCAAAGAUUUAUCGCUAUGGGAUGGGGAUGCGUCUGAUUAGGUUGUUGGCGGGGUAACGGCCCACCAAGCCAUCGAUCAGUAGGGGUUCUGAGAGGAAGGUCCCCACACUGGUACUGAGACACGGACCAGACUCCUACGGGAGGCAGCAGUGAGGAAUAUUGGUCAAUGGGCGCGAGCCUGAACCAGCCAAGUAGCGUGCAGGAUGACGGCCCUAUGGGUUGUAAACUGCUUUUAUGCGGGGAUAAAGUUUGCCACGUGUGGCUUAUUGCAGGUACCGCAUGAAUAAGGACCGGCUAAUUCCGUGCC